ACACGGGAAGGAGGUGGUCCGGAACAUGAAGCAUUCCAGGACGCGUGAGGUGACUGUCCGCUAGUCGCCCGACAGCUCGGGACGGACUGGUCGUCCGCCCGUUGUCGUCACCGGGAACGGUGGGGGCGGCGAGCGAAUACCGGCAGUCACCGCAGCCCGUGGGAGCCGCGAUCUCGUCCACCGCGGCAGGACCGAGAGGUCCGGCCCACGGGCUGUCCCGU
rnacentral:sRNA from 1 species